UCUCUAAGGAACCUGAUGCAUGAGUGGACUAGAGAAGAGAAAGAGAGGAAAACUCCAAAGACCUACAGAUCAUCUGGCUGGCAGGGUCAAGUUUUCCUCAGAUUGAGGUGGAACUGUGGCUCAUGGACAUCUGAUGUGCUGGUUGCAUGAUUUGAACACAGCAAAAGGACAAAGGAGAUGAAAUUGGAGCC